rnacentral:rRNA from 1 species
GGGGAAUUUUCCGCAAUGGGCGCAAGCUUGACGGAGCAACGCCGCGUGAGGGAGGAAGACCUGUGGGUUGUAAACCUCUUUUCUCAAGGAAGAACACAAUGACGGUACUUGAGGAAUCAGCAUCGGCUAACUCCGUGCCAGCAGCCGCGGUAGGACGGAGGAUGCAAGCGUUAUCCGGAAUUAUUGGGCGUAAAGCGUCCGUAGGUGGUUAUAAAAGUCUGUUGUUAAAGCCCACAGCUCAACUGUGGAUCGGCAAUGGAAACUGUAUGACUUGAGUGUGGUAGGGGUAGAGGGAAUUCCUAGUGUAGCGGUGAAAUGCGUAGAUAUUAGGAAGAACACCAGUGGCGAAGGCGCUCUACUGGGCCAUAACUGACACUGAUGGACGAAAGCUAGGGGAGCGAAAGGGAUUAGAUACCCCAGUAGUC